UGGGGAAUAUUGCACAAUGGGCGCAAGCCUGAUGCAGCCAUGCCGCGUGUGUGAAGAAGGCCUUCGGGUUGUAAAGCACUUUCAGCGAGGAGGAAGGGUUCAGUGUUAAUAGCACUGUUCAUUGACGUUACUCGCAGAAGAAGCACCGGCUAACUCCGUGCCAGCAGCCGCGGUAAUACGGAGGGUGCAAGCGUUAAUCGGAAUUACUGGGCGUAAAGCGCACGCAGGCGGUUUGUUAAGUCAGAUGUGAAAUCCCCGCGCUUAACGUGGGAACCGCAUUUGAAACUGGCAAGCUAGAGUCUUGUAGAGGGGGGUAGAAUUCCAGGUGUAGCGGUGAAAUGCGUAGAGAUCUGGAGGAAUACCGGUGGCGAAGGCGGCCCCCUGGACAAAGACUGACG
rnacentral:rRNA from 1 species